GCAGAGAAAGAAGAACAAAGCGUUGAAUUGACUGAUAGGUACAAUUUUUUUUUUUUUUUAACUUAAAUUAUAUCUUCAGUACAUACGUUUAACAAAUUUAAAGACAAAGCUCACCUGGGUCUUCACUAUUGCCACACAGUAUAGCAAUUUACGCUACAUAGAUAUUGCCACACAGUAUAGUAAUUUAUGCUACAUAGAUCACCUUUCUAGCCAAACAACUUUUGCUUUCAUUGUCUCAUUACUUUACUUUACUACUAUAUAGAAAUGAGACUUUAGGGUGUACGAACAUAACAAAGAUUAGUUGUACAGAAAGUAAAGCGGAUAGUACUAUAAACGUGGGCCCUCUCUUAAUGGUGAUUAAUUAUUUUGGUUGUUCUCCUAUAAGGCUAUAAUCCUAUAACACUAACACAUGUAUUAUCUCUUAAAACACGUGUACUUUCAAAUGUUGCUCUUCUUUCCCUUUCAUUUUACCCACCGGUUGCUUCGCUUCUCAUCUCUGCAGCUAGAAGUGCUUCCUCUCGUGCUCUCUUAUAGCUUCUAAAUACCAGAUCGUCUUCAAAUGGGUGGAGUAGUUUCCACUAUUCCAAUGAACCUGCUGCAAAGAACCUUCCAGUCUCAUUAACAAGCUUAACUUGGCAAGGGAAUGAUGCAGUUACUACCAGUCAGUUGGAGGCUACAGCUCAAGAGAGGAUUGGGAAGUUGAAUCCAAGAAGGGGACCUAACAAUUGAUUUAGCUUUAUGAAAUGUUAUUGUUUUUUGUGAAUUAUGGUGAUGCAUUUACUGCUUAAGACAAUACUCUUAAUUUGCUAAUUAUGUAAUGGUCAAACUAAAUGGAUGCCACAUUAUGACUUGGGAUGUAUUAGUUUUUGGGGUUAUAGUGUGGCAUCCAUACAACUAUUGGCUUAUUUUGUGUUGUGGUUGACAGUUUCUUUAGCAUAUUUAUGGUGUUUGAAAUGUCCA